rnacentral:rRNA from 2 species
GAACAGAUAAGGAGCUUGCUCCUUUGACGUUAGCGGCGGACGGGUGAGUAACACGUGGAUAACCUACCUAUAAGACUGGGAUAACUUCGGGAAACCGGAGCUAAUACCGGAUAACAUAUUGAACCGCAUGGUUCAAUAGUGAAAGGCGGCUUUGCUGUCACUUAUAGAUGGAUCCGCGCCGUAUUAGCUAGUUGGUAAGGUAACGGCUUACCAAGGCAACGAUACGUAGCCGACCUGAGAGGGUGAUCGGCCACACUGGAACUGAGACACGGUCCAGACUCCUACGGGAGGCAGCAGUAGGGAAUCUUCCGCAAUGGGCGAAAGCCUGACGGAGCAACGCCGCGUGAGUGAUGAAGGUCUUCGGAUCGUAAAACUCUGUUAUCAGGGAAGAACAAAUGUGUAAGUAACUGUGCACAUCUUGACGGUACCUGAUCAGAAAGCCACGGCUAACUACGUGCCAGCAGCCGCGGUAAUACGUAGGUGGCAAGCGUUAUCCGGAAUUAUUGGGCGUAAAGCGCGCGUAGGCGGUUUUUUAAGUCUGAUGUGAAAGCCCACGGCUCAACCGUGGAGGGUCAUUGGAAACUGGAAAACUUGAGUGCAGAAGAGGAAAGUGGAAUUCCAUGUGUAGCGGUGAAAUGCGCAGAGAUAUGGAGGAACACCAGUGGCGAAGGCGACUUUCUGGUCUGUAACUGACGCUGAUGUGCGAAAGCGUGGGGAUCAAACAGGAUUAGAUACCCUGGUAGUCCACGCCGUAAACGAUGAGUGCUAAGUGUUAGGGGGUUUCCGCCCCUUAGUGCUGCAGCUAACGCAUUAAGCACUCCGCCUGGGGAGUACGACCGCAAGGUUGAAACUCAAAGGAAUUGACGGGGACCCGCACAAGCGGGGAGCAUGUGGUUUAAUUCGAAGCAACGCGAAGAACCUUACGAAAUCAUGACGUCCUUUGACGUUUCUAGAGAUAGAGUCGUCUACAUCGGGGGACAAAGUGACAGGUGGUGCAUGGUUGUCGUCAGCUCGUGUCGUGAGAUGUUGGGUUAAGUCCCGCAACGAGCGCAACCCUUAAGCUUAGUUGCCAUCAUUAAGUUGGGCACUCUAAGUUGACUGCCGGUGACAAACCGGAGGAAGGUGGGGAUGACGUCAAAUCAUCAUGCCCCUUAUGAUUUGGGCUACACACGUGCUACAAUGGACAAUACAAAGGGCAGCUAAACCGCGAGGUCAAGCAAAUCCCAUAAAGUUGUUCUCAGUUCGGAUUGUAGUCUGCAACUCGACUACAUGAAGCUGGAAUCGCUAGUAAUCGUAGAUCAGCAUGCUACGGUGAAUACGUUCCCGGGUCUUGUACACACCGCCCGUCACACCACGAGAGUUUGUAACACCCGAAGCCGGUGGAGUAACCAUUUAUGGAGCU